GUGUCGAUAAAAAAGCAGUUAUAAGAUACUGAUUAUUUUAUAAAAUCUUUUUUAAUUAAUUUUUUCGAGGAUAAGCUCGAAAAACAUAUUAAGGUAUUUACACCAUAAUAGUUAUUAUGUAGGCUUAAGAUUAGUCAUCAUGAGAGUUUGUUAUAAAACAAUAAUUAUACUAUCUAAAAUAAAUAUAUUUUAUUCUAAUUACUAACAGAAAUAAAGGUCAUAAUAAAUAAUGACCUUCCACCUAUGCUAGAAUGAGUAUUAAAACCAUAUAUGUGUAAACAGAAAAUAAUAUAUAAUUUUUCUACAAGAAGACAAUUAACUUAGGUAAAUUAAAUAGAAGGAACUCGGCAAAAUUAAUGCUUCCGCCUGUUUAUCAAAAACAUGGCUCUUUGAGUUAUUUAAAAUAAAGAGUCAGGCCUGCCCAGUGAAUAAAAUUUAACGGCCGCGGUACUCUGACCGUGCAAAGGUAGCAUAAUCAUUUGCCUUAUAAUUGAAGGCUAGUAUGAAUGGUUUAACGAAAGCAAUACUGUCUCCUAUUUAUUUUCAAGAACUUAACCUUUAGGUGAAGAGGCCUAAAUUUAAUUGAAGGACAAGAAGACCCUGUCGAGCUUAAAAGACACUAUGGAAGUUUAUAUAAUAUUAGAUAAAAUAACCAUUAAGCUUUUUAGUUGGGGCGACUAAGGAACAAAAAAAGCUUCUUAUAUAAAAUAGACAUACAGGUUUUGAUCCGGUAAUAGCCGAUCUAAGGAAUUAGUUACCGCAGGGAUAACAGCAUAAUCUCUCUUGAGAGACCUAAUCGAAAGAGGGGGUUGUGACCUCGAUGUUGGACUAGAAUGUCCUAAAGGUGCAGAAGUCUUUAAGGG
rnacentral:rRNA from 1 species